rnacentral:lncRNA from 1 species
CCACAACAACCUCUCAGCUGUAAGGGACUAGCUUUAUUGACUCCGGUAAAGCAAUUUACACCAUCUGGAAACCAAGCCUGAUCUCCCAGUGAGCUCCUGUCCCCAGGUGGAACCACUUCAGCCUGAAGAGCCAUCAGGGGCAGGAGCAGAGCUUUGCAAACCUGGCAAGGUCAGCCUUCAUUUUUUGUGCAAAACAACUCUCCCAUCUAUCUGCAAGAACCCCCUUUUGUCUCCACCUUGUGCAGCUGUCUUUCUUUAGGUAAUCCUAAUAGGGACAAGAACAAUUUUCAGGAAAUAACUUGUUGUUUCUUAGAAGUAACAUUAGAAAUCCCUUUUGUAGCAAAGACAAUUGCCCAACUGCUACCUUCCCAGAAGUGUGAAGAGGUUACCAGGAAAUUAAAAUAAAAGCUAUGGGGCUGACUCUAAGUUUUUCAUACACCUGGCCUGGAAGAGACAUCUGAUUGGAGGGGCCUAUGCAGGUGUUCAGAGUUAAGGAAUGUGGACAUGAAGAACCAUGAUGCUAUGGGGCCAGUAUCUUCCAGGCCUGGUGUCUAUUUUGUGACUGCAUAAAACUAAUUUAUUUAUUUAUUUAUUUAUUUUUAGGUCCCUGGGGAGGGUGUCUGUGCUGUUUUAGCACUGAGAAGAAAAGUUCUCCUAGGCUGGUUCAGUGUACCACAAAGGUCUCAGCAGAAAAUCUUCAAAAAACCCCUAAAGCCCUACAUGUUUCAGGUGAACAUUUGUUUCAUGUAUGUGUCUGGAAAGAGGGUAGUUUUGGGGGUGCCAGGUGCUGUGUAGGGUGGGAAGCUGACAGGGGUGUGCUGAGCAUAGCUAAGGGGUGAUGGUGGUGACUCUGGGUCAGGACAGGUGAGCAAAUAACCCACCAAGUAUGUGGCAGUGAUUUGAUGUAUUAACUACUACUGUUCCUCCCGAAACUUAUGUGCACCAAAAAGAAUCAAGAUGGUGCUCUGGACACUGCAUUAUCAAAGGAUGAAGGUAUUUUGCUGCUUCUCGUGUCUUAAUUCUGGGCUAGGGAGAGUCUGAGAGAACAAUGCUCUGGUAAGGGCAUUUAUGCGACUCAGAGGAGACCUCAGAUCUGGGCCCUGCUCCAAAGUACGGAUUUGUUAGAGGAGUAUUUCUGCUGAUGGAAUAGGUGCUUUUGGGGUUGAGUAGAAACUGAGUAGGGCAUUUGAGGUUG